rnacentral:rRNA from 1 species
GUGCCUAACACAUGCAAGUCGAGCGGAGAUUUCCGAAGUAGAAAUGCGGAGGGGAUUUUAGCGGCGGACGGGUGAGUAACACGUGAGCAAUCUGCCUUAGGCUGGGGAAUAACAUUGUGAAAACAGUGCUAAUACCGCAUAACGUCCCGGGAGGGCAUCCUCCGGGGACCAAAGGAGCAAUCCGGCCCAAGAUGAGCUCGCGUCCGAUUAGCUGGUUGGUGAGGUAACGGCCCACCAAGGCGACGAUCGGUAGCCGAACUGAGAGGUUGAUCGGCCACAUUGGGACUGAGACACGGCCCAGACUCCUACGGGAGGCAGCAGUGGGGAAUAUUGGGCAAUGGGGGAAACCCUGACCCAGCAACGCCGCGUGAAGGACGAAGGCCUUCGGGUUGUAAACUUCUUUGAUCAGGGACGAACAAUGACGGUACCUGAAGAACAAGCCACGGCUAACUACGUGCCAGCAGCCGCGGUAAUACGUAGGUGGCGAGCGUUAUCCGGAUUUACUGGGUGUAAAGGGCGUGUAGGCGGGUCUGCCAGUCGGGUGUGAAAUUUCCAGGCUUAACCUGGACGGGUCAUCCGAAACUGCGGAUCUUGAGUACUGGAGAGGAUAGUGGAAUUCCUAGUGUAGCGGUAAAAUGCGUAGAUAUUAGGAGGAACACCAGUGGCGAAGGCGGCUAUCUGGACAGUAACUGACGCUGAGGCGCGAAAGCGUGGGGAGCAAACAGGAUUAGAUACCCUGGUAGUCCACGCUGUAAACGAUGAAUACUAGGUGUAGGGGGUAUCGACCCCCCCUGUGCCGCAGCUAACGCAAUAAGUAUUCCACCUGGGGAGUACGGCCGCAAGGUUG